UCUCCUGAUGAGAGUCUAGUGUUGCUUCAACAUACUGUACCUUCUUCCCGUUAGCCUCUGCUCCUCCGUUAUGAUGCACCGACGUAACACGAGUCUG